rnacentral:rRNA from 1 species
CCUACGGGAGACAGCAGUGGGGAAUAUUGGGCAAUGGGCGCAAGCCUGACCCAGCAACGCCGCGUGAAGGAAGAAGGCUUUCGGGUUGUAAACUUCUUUUCUCAGGGACGAAGAAAGUGACGGUACCUGAGGAAUAAGCCACGGCUAACUACGUGCCAGCAGCCGCGGUAAUACGUAGGUGGCAAGCGUUAUCCGGAUUUACUGGGUGUAAAGGGCGUGUAGGCGGGACUGCAAGUCAGAUGUGAAAACCACGGGCUCAACCUGUGGCCUGCAUUUGAAACUGUUUCCCUUGAGUGUCGGAGAGGUAAUCGGAAUUCCUUGUGUAGCGGUGAAAUGCGUAGAUAUAAGGAAGAACACCAGUGGCGAAGGCGGAUUACUGAACGAUAACUGACGGUGAGGCGCGAAAGCGUGGGGAGCAAACAGGAUUAGAUACCCGAGUAGUC